GCUAAAAACCUAGCCCUACACCCACAACAAACUACUCAAAACUAAACAAAAUAUUUAACUAUUCUAGUAGAGAUGAUCAAAACCCUGACAGGAGCUAUACUAUGUACCGCAAGGGAUGGUGAAAUAUAAUUAAAUAACAAAAGCACAAAAAAGCAGAGAUUAUCACUCGUACCUUUUGCAUAAUGAUUUAAUUAGUCUAACCAAGCAAAAAGACUUUUAGUUUGACCCCCCGAAACUGAGUGAGCUACUCUAGGGCAGUUUAAUGAACGAACCCGUCUCUGUUGCAAGAGAGUGGGAAGACCUUAAAGUAGAGGUGACAGACCUACCGAACUCAGUGAUAGCUGGUUACUCAAGAAAAGAAUGUUAGUUCAUCCUAAAGUAACUUAAUAAAGUUAAAUACACCACUUUAGAGUAAUUCAAGCAAGGUACACCUUUCUUGAAAAAGGAUACAACCUCGAACAACGGGUAACCUAUACACACUAAAACCAAGUAGGCCUAAAAGCAGCCAUCUUAAAAAAGCGUCAAAGCUUAAUUUUUACGAACCUAAUACCUCACCAUAUAAAGAACCCUUCAACAAUAUUGAGUACUUCUAUGUCCCCAUAGAACUUUUUAUGUUAGAACUAGUAACAAGAAAAUAUUCUCUUAUAAUGUAAGUGCAAGUCAGCAGCGGAUUAACCACUGACUCCUACACAGUUAAACAAACAGCACCUCUUCAAGAAAAUCCUGUUUACAUAACUGUUAACCUAACACAAGAACAUUUCAAGAAAGAUUUAACAAAAAAGAAGGAACUCGGCAAACCCCGAUCUCGCCUGUUUACCAAAAACAUCGCCUCUUGAUAAAAUAAGAGGCCCAGCCUGCCCAGUGACCCCAGUUAAACGGCCGCGGUAUCCUGACCGUGCGAAGGUAGCGUAAUCACUUGUUUUUUAAAUAAAGACUAGUAUGAAAGGCAUCACGAGGAUCAAACUGUCUCCUUUUUUUAAUCCGUGAAACUAAUCUUCCCGUGAAGAAGCGGGAAUUUUCAUAUAAGACGAGAAGACCCUGUGGAGCUUUAAGGCAAAAUAAUUACUACCCCCUCGAUACGCACGAGACCACCUUAAUUAUCUACCUUAGGUUGGGGCGACCGCGGAGUAAAAUUUACCCUCCGCGCAUAAGGGAGAUUUCCCCGCAAAGAGCUACAGCUCACGCAUUAAUAAAUUAACGCAAUUGACCCAAUUACUUGAGCAACGAAACAAGUUACCCCAGGGAUAACAGCGCAAUCCACCUCGAGAGCCCAUAUCGACAGGUGGGUUUACGACCUCGAUGUUGGAUCAGGGUAUCCCAGUGGUGCAGCCGCUACUAAAGGUUCGUUUGUUCAACGAUUAAAACCCUACGUGAUCUGAGU
rnacentral:rRNA from 1 species